rnacentral:rRNA from 1 species
AGUAAAGUGGCGCACGGGUGAGUAAUGCGUGGGUAAUCUACCCUUGAAUCUGGAAUAACCUGUUGAAAGACGGACUAAUACCGGAUGAAAUCUAUAUAGUUUUGGCUUAAUAGAUUAAAGGUGGCUUCUUUAUAAAAGCUACUGUUUGAGGAUGAGCUCGCGUACCAUUAGCUAGUUGGUAAGGUAAUGGCUUACCAAG